rnacentral:rRNA from 1 species
UACGUAGGGGGCAAGCGUUGUCCGGAGUUAUUGGGCGUAAAGAGCGUGUAGGCGGCCAGCCAUGGCCGUUGUGAAAACUAGAGGCUUAACCUCUAGACGUCGAUGGAAACCGUCUGGCUAGAGUCCGGAAGAGGAGAAUGGAAUUCCCGGUGUAGCGGUGAAAUGCGCAGAUAUUAGGAAGAACACCAAUGGCGAACGCAGCUCUCUGGGACGGUACUGACGCUGAGACGCGAAAGCGUGGGGAGCGAACAGG